GAGAGCCUUGGGCCUUCAGACCUCCAGUCUGCUAUAAGGUCUUAGUGGGACAGAUAGAUAGACAGAAAGAGAGAGCCUUGGGCCUUCAGACCUCCAGUCUGCUAUAAGGUCUUAGUGGGACAGAUAGAUAGACAGAAAGAUAGAGCCUUGGGCCUUCAGACCUCCAGUCUGUUAUAAGGUCUUAGUGGGACAGAUAGAUAGACAGAAAGAUAGAGCCUUGGGCCUUCAGACCUCCAGUCUGCUAUAAGGUCUUAGUGGGACAGAUAGAUAGACAGAAAGAUAGAGCCUUGGGCCUUCAGACCUCCAGUCUGCUAUAAGGUCUUAGUGCGACAGAUAGAUAGACAGAAAGAGAGAGCCUUGGGCCUUCAGACCUCCAGUCUGUUAUAAGGUCUUAGUGGGACAGAAAGAGAGAGCCUUGGGCCUUCAGACCUCCAGUCUGCUAUAAGGUCUUAGUGCGACAGAUAGAUAGACAGAAAGAGAGAGCCUUGGGCCUUCAGACCUCCAGUCUGUUAUAAGGUCUUAGUGGGACAGAUAGAUAGACAGAAAGAUAGAGCCUUGGGCCUUCAGACCUCCAGUCUGCUAUAAGUUCUUAGUGGGACAGAUAGAUAGACAGAAAGAUAGAGCCUUGGGCCUUCAGACCUCCAGUCUGCUAUAAGGUCUUAGUGGGACAGAUAGAUAGACAGAAAGAUAGAGCCUUGGGCCUUCAGACCUCCAGUCUGCUAUAAGGUCUUAGUGGGACAGAUAGAUCGACAGAAAGAGAGAGCCUUGGGCCUUCAGACCUCCAGUCUGUUAUAAGGUCUUAGUGCGACAGAAAGAUAGAGCCUUGGGCCUUCAGACCUCCAGUCUGCUAUAAGGUCUUAGUGGGACAGAUAGAUAGACAGAAAGAUAGAGCCUUGGGCCUUCAGACCUCCAGUCUGCUAUAAGGUCUUAGUGGGACAGAUAGACAGACAGAAAGAUAGAGCCUUGGGCCUUCAGACCUCCAGUCUGCUAUAAGGUCUUAGUGGGACAGAAAGAGAGAGCCUUGGGCCUUCAGACCUCCAGUCUGUUAUAAGGUCUUAGUGGGACAAAUAGAUAGACAGAAAGAUAGAGCCUUGGGCCUUCAGACCUCCAGUCUGCUAUAAGGUCUUAGUGGGACAGAUAGAUAGACAGAAAGAUAGAGCCUUGGGCCUUCAGACCUCCAGUCUGCUAUAAGGUCUUAGUGGGACAGAUAGAUAGACAGAAAGAUAGAGCCUUGGGCCUUCAGACCUCCAGUCUGCUAUAAGGUCUUAGUGGGACAGAUAGAUAGACAGAAAGAUAGAGCCUUGGGCCUUCAGACCUCCAGUCUGCUAUAAGGUCUUAGUGGGACAGAUAGAUAGACAGAAAGAGAGAGCCUUGGGCCUUCAGACCUCCAGUCUGUUAUAAGGUCUUAGUGGGACAGAUAGAUAGACAGAAAGAUAGAGCCUUGGGCCUUCAGACCUCCAGUCUGCUAUAAGGUCUUAGUGGGACAGAUAGACAGACAGAAAGAUAGAGCCUUGGGCCUUCAGACCUCCAGUCUGCUAUAAGGUCUUAGUGGGGUCUCUAUCAUCUAGCCCAGCCCCGGCCAGCGCCGCCCCGAUCCCAGUCACCCCGAUUCCAGCAGCCAUCCUGGACAAGGAAUGGUGGUUCUGGUUGGGUGGAGGGCCAGAGAGGC